rnacentral:rRNA from 1 species
UUGCGGUUAAAAAGCUCGUAGUUGGAUCUCGGCGGGCAGGGGGUGGUUCGCUCUUCAGCGCUACUGCCCCGCUUUGCCCGUGUGAUUGGCGGAGGUUUCGGGGUGCUCUUCGUUGAGUGACUCGGAGCGCCGUCAGGUUUACUUUGAAAAAAUUAGAGUGCUCAAAGCAGGCUUUUCACGCUUGAAUAUUCGUGCAUGGAAUAAUGGAAUAGGAACUCGUUUCUAUUUUGUUGGUUUUCGGAAAUCGAGUUAAUGAUUAACAGGGACAAUUGGGGGCAUUAGUAUUCAGACGACAGAGGUGAAAUUCUUGGACCGUCUGAAGACUGACUACUGCGAAAGCAUUUGCCAAGAGUGUUUUCAUUAAUCAAGAACGAAAGUUAGAGGUUCGAAGGCGAUCAGAUACCGCCCUAGUUCUAACCAUAAACGAUGCCAGCUAGCGAUCUGCCGAGUUUUUUUUGUAGGCUCCGCAGGAAGCUUUCGGGAAACCAAAGCUUUUGGGUUCCGGGGGAAGUAUGGUUGCAAAGCUGAAACUUAAAGGAAUUGACGGAAGGGCACCACCAGGAGUGGAGCCUG